rnacentral:rRNA from 1 species
CGCAAAUUACCCAAUCCCGACACGGGGAGGUAGUGACAAUAAAUAACAAUACGGGACUCAUUCGAGGCCCCGUAAUUGGAAUGAGAACAAUUUAAAUCCCUUAACGAGGAACAAUUGGAGGGCAAGUCUGGUG